rnacentral:rRNA from 1 species
UCUACGGGUGGCUGCAGUGAGGAAUAUUGGUCAAUGGGCGGGAGCCUGAACCAGCCAAGUCGCGUGAGGGAAGACGGUCCUAUGGAUUGUAAACCUCUUUAGGCGGGGAGCAAUGCCGGGCACGUGUGCCCGGAGGGAGAGUACCCGCAGAAUAAGCAUCGGCUAACUCCGUGCCAGCAGCCGCGGUAAUACGGAGGAUGCGAGCGUUAUCCGGAUUUAUUGGGCGUAAAGCGCUCGUAGGCGGUAUGUCAAGUCAAGGGUGAAAUCCCCGCGCUCAACGUGGGAACUGCCUUUGAAACUGGCAAACUGGAGUGUGUGAGAGGAUAGUGGAAUUCCAGGUGUAGGAGUGAGAUCCGUAGAUAUCUGGAGGAACAUCAGUGGCGAAGGCGACUAUCUGGCACAUAACUGACGCUGAGGAGCGAAAGCGUGGGUAGCAAACAGGAUUAGAUACCCUAGUAGUC